GUGUGUGGUGUGGUGUGUGCGUGUGUGUGGUGUGGGGUGUGUGUAGUGUUGUAUUGGUUCUGGUGUGGGUUGUGUUCAGCAGUAUCUUCUCCAUACAGAUACAGUACUGAGGAGCAGGGCAGAGAGGGGGGGCGUGCGCAGGAUCGGCUGGUGUGUGUGAGAUGGCCAACAUUCCGCCCAUUCAUUCCUAUGGGGAAAGUUCGUACGAUAAUUUUACGAAAACCGUAAAUCGUAUCGGUGAGAUCAGCAUAUCGUCUGAAACAUCUCUGCAAGUUCUGUAUGGCUGCGUCCGAAAUCGCGUACUUCCAUACUAAACAGUAUGCAAAAGCAGUAUGCGAGAUCGGGUAGUGUGUCCGAAUGCGCAGUAGGCGAGUUUGAGUACGCGAAAAGUUCCCGGAUGACGUACUGCACCGGGAGACAUUUUUAAGUAUACAAGCCCAGCACACUUCACCCGCUAAUAUUUCCCACAAUCCACCGGGAGCCGCGCUGAGCUGAGUGACCCGUCAGUGAGCGGCGGAGCGGCGGGGGAGAGGAGUGGAGAGAGAGAGAAGUUUAUGAGAUUCAACUAUCCUUCCUACUCGAGAGGAUGAAGAUGAAGAGAGGGAGAAAAAUGAACAAUGAAUAAAAAAAAUAAAUAAAGCUACUUUAAAGACUUGU